CUCUGUACGGGAAGGAUGAGAAGCUUCGACUAAGGUUCGAUUCGAGCGCAGCGAGAAAGCGUUGCCGCAGGCAACGACCCGAAGGGCGAAGCGCGCAGCGCUGAGUCAUCCUUCCCCCACCACCA
rnacentral:sRNA from 1 species